UAAUCAAUGAUUGGCAUCAGCAUUUGCUGUACAAUCUUUUCCUUUACUGUAGGGCUUAGGCAGGCUUUGUUUCUGUACAGGGCACCUAAUUUUGGAUAAAGUUUAGAUGCAAGCUUUUCUAUGUGCAGGCCAAAAGAUAGAUUGGGGUCUAAUAUCAUACCCAAGUAUUUGAAAGAGUGGACCCCUUGUAUUAUAUGUUCCGCAAACUCACUUCAACGUAUGGCACGUUAUCCGAAGCCAUAUCAAUUCUAACUAACAUAGAAACAUAGAAUGUGAGGGUAAGAACCAUUCGGCCCAUCUAGUCAAUUUUCUAAAUACUUUCAAUAGUCCCUGUCCUUAUCUUAUAGUUAGGAUAGCCUUAUGCCUAUCCCACGCAUGCUCAAACUCCUUUACUGUGUUAACCUCUACCACUUCAGCUGGAAGGCUAUUCCAUGCAUCCACUACCCUCUCAGUAAAGUAAUACUUCUUGAUAUUAUUUUUAAACCUUUGCCACUCUAAUUUAAGACUAUGUCCUCUUGUUGUGGUAGUUUUCUUCUUUUAAAUAUAGUCUCUUCCUUUACUGUGUUGAUUCCCUUAAUGUAUUUAAAUGUUUCUAUCAUAUCCCACCUGUCUUGUCUUUCCUCCAAGCUAUACAUGUUAAGAUCCUUUAACCUUUCCUGGUAAGUUUUAUCCCGCAAUCCAUGAACCAGUUUAGUAGCCCUUCUCUGAACUCUCUCUAAGGUAUCAAUAUCCUUCCGAAGAUACGGUCUCCAGUACUGUGUACAAUACUCCAAGUGAGGUCUCACCAAUGUUCUGUACAAUGGCAUGAGCACUUCCCUCUUACUACUUCUAAUACCUCUCCCUAUACAACCAAGCAUACUGCUAGCAUUUCCUGCUGCUCUAUUACAUUGUCUACCUACCUAUAAGUCAUCAGAAAUAAUCACCCCUAAAUCCCUUUCCUCAGAUGUUGAGGUUAGGACACUAUCAAAUAUUCUGUACUCUGCCCUUGGGUUUUUACGUCCAAUAUGCAUUAUCUUGCACUUAUCCACAUUAAAUGUCAGUUGCAACAAUUCUGACCAUUUUUCUAGUUUACCUAAAUCAUUUGCCAUUUGGCUUAUCCCUGGAACAUCAACCCUGUUACAUAUCUUAGUAUCAUCAGCAAAAACAUACCUUACCAUCAAGACCUUCUGCAAUAUCACUAAUAAAAAUAUUAAAGAGAAUGGGUCCAAGUACCCUGAGGUACCUCACUGGUGACAAGUCCAAGCUUCGAAUAUAUUCCAUAGACUACAACCCUCUGUUGCCUGUCACUCAGCCACUGCCUUACCCAUUCAACAAUAUUGGAAUCCAAACUUAAAGAUUGCCGUUUAUUGAUAAGUCUUCUAUGUGCAACAGUGUCAAAAGCCUUACUGAAAUUUAGGUAAGCAAUGUCUAUUGCACUACCCUGAUCUAUAAUUUUAGUUACCCAAUCAAAAAAAUCAAUAAGAUAAGUUUGGCAUGAUCUCCCUGAAGUAAACCCAUGUUGUCUCUGAUCUUGAAAUCUAUGUGUUUUUAGAUGUUCAACAAUCCUAUCCUUUAACAUGGUUUCCAUCACUUUCCCCACUACUGAAGUAAGGCUUACUGGCCUAAAGUUGCCAGACUCCUCCCUAUUACCUUUCUUGUGAAUGGGCACAACAUUGGCUAACUUCCAAUCUUCUGGGACUAUUCCUGUUAACAAUGAUUGGUUAAAUAAAUCUGUUAAUGGUUUUGCUAGUACACCACUAAGCUCUUUUAAUAGCUUUGGGUGUAUUCCAUCAGGUCCCAUUGACUUAUUUGUCUUUACUUUUGACAGUUGAAAUAGAACCUCUUCCUCUGUAAACUCAGGUGUAAUAAAUUACUCAUUUAUCCUUUUUCUUAACUGAGGUCCCUUUCCUUCGUUUUCAUCUGUAAAUACAGAACAAAAAUAUUCAUUGAGGCAGUCAGCUAGACGUUUAUCCUUUUCUACAUACCUUCCUUCUUUUGUUUUUAAUCUAACUAAUCCUUGUUUUACUUUUCUUUUCUCAUUUAUGUAUCUAAAAAAAGUUUUCUCCCCCUUUUUUACUGACUGUGCUAUUUUCUCUUCUGUGUGUGAUUUGGAAGCUCUUAUAACUUGCUUAGCCUCUUUCUGAUCUUAUAGAUAAUUUUGUCUUCCUCACUCUGGGUUUUCUUAUAAUUACUAAAUGCUAACUUUUUGUUUUUAACUAUUUUGGCCACAUCUGCGGAGUACCACAAUGGUUUCUUGAAUUUUUUGCUUUUACUUUCAAGCCUAAUGCAAUUUUCUGUUGCCUUCAGUAGUGCAACUUUUAAAUAAUACCAUUUCUCUUGGACUCCAUUUAAAUUGCUCCAGGCUGAUAAUGACUCCUCUACACAUAUUCUAAUUUUAGAAAAGUCUGUUUUUCUAAAGUCUAAAACUUUUGUUUUUGUGUGAUGUGACUCAGUCACUGUUCUUAUAUUAAACCACACUGACUGAUGAUCACUUGAUCCUAAACUUUCACAUACAGUAAUAUCUGAUACCAAAUCUCCAUUUGUUAACAUUAAAUCUAGUAUGGCCUCUUUACGAGUUGGCUCCUCAACGACUUGUUUUAGAGACAAUUCCAGUAGGGAGUUUAGAAUAUGUGUGCUCCUGGCACAAGCAGCUAUUUUUGUUUUCCAAUUCACAUCAGGAAGAUUAAAGUCACCCAUGAUGAUAACUUCCCCCUUCAUUGUCAUUUUAGCUAUUUCCUCAACUAGUAGAUUAUUUAACUCUUCAAUUUGUCCUGGGGGCCUAUAAAUCACACCUACACUAGUUACUGUGUGAUUACCAAAUUCUAACGUAACCCAAACGGACUCUAUGUUUGCCUCACUAACUUUUAUUAGGCUAGAUUUUAUGCUAUCCUUCACAUACAGGGCCACCCCUCCCCCUUUCUUGCCUUCCCUGUCUUUUCUAUAUAAAGAGUACCCUGGUAUUGCUAUGUCCCAGUCAUUUUUCUCAUUAUACCAUGUCUCAGUAACAGCGACUAAAUCUACACUAUCAGUUGCCAUUAUUGCCACAAGUUCAUGGAUCUUAUUCCCUAAACUGCGAGCAUUUGUAGACAUGAGUCUAAGCUUAUCAUUAUUUAACACACUUGCUACAGGCAUCUUCUGUCCUUGUUUUGGGGGACAAUUGGAUUGAUGUUUUAUCACCCUUUUGCCCCCCCUCCUAGUUUAAAUACAUCCUUGCAAAACCUCUGAACUGCUCACUGAGAACAUUUGUUCCCUUUUGAGAAAGAUGCAAACCAUCUUUUUUGUACAGUUUAUUUCCAUUCCAAACAGAGCUACCAUGAGAAAUAAAGCCAAAUUCUUGCUCCCGACACCAUUCACCAAGCCACAAAUUAAAGUCCCUAAUACGCAUCCGCCUGUCGUUCUGAGUGUUAUGCACAGGCAGAACUUCAGAGAAUGACAGUGUGGAAGCAACCUGCCGUAUAUCAUUGGCAAAAA
rnacentral:lncRNA from 1 species